UGAAGGAAUAUUGGUCAAUGGGCGGGAGCCUGAACCAGCCAAGUAGCGUGCGGGAUGAAGGGCCCUUGUGGGUCGUAAACCGCUUUUAUCAGUGAAUUAAAGUGCACCACGUGUGGUGUCAUUGCAGGUAGCUGAAGAAAAAGGACCGGCUAAUUCCGUGCCAGCAGCCGCGGUAAUACGGAAGGUCCGGGCGUUAUCCGGAAUUAUUGGGUUUAAAGGGAGCGCAGGCGGGAGUAUAAGUCAGCUGUUAAAUAUCAGAGCCCAACUCUGUUAUGCAGUUGAAACUAUAUUUCUUGAGUACGCACAGGGAUGGCGGAAUUCAGGGUGUAGCGGUGAAAUGCUUAGAUAUCCUGAAGAACUCCGAUCGCGAAGGCAGCCAUCCGGAGCGUAACUGACGCUGAGGCUCGAAGGUGCGGGUAUCGAACAGGAUUAGAUACCCUGGUAGUCCGCACGGUAAACGAUGAAUACUCGCAGUUCGGCCGUUUAUGGUCGAUUAUGAAACAGAUACGUUAAGUAUUCCGCCAAGGUAAGAAUUCGGCCUCCGGU
rnacentral:rRNA from 1 species